rnacentral:rRNA from 1 species
GACGAACGCUGGCGGCGUGCUUAACACAUGCAAGUCGAACGGAAAGGCCCUGCUUUUGCGGGGUGCUCGAGUGGCGAACGGGUGAGUAACACGCGAGUAACCUGCCCUUGACUUUGGGAUAACUUCAGGAAACUGGGGCUAAUACCGGAUAGGAGCUCCUGCUGCAUGGUGGGGGUUGGAAAGAUCCGGCGGUUGGGGAUGGUAUCGCGGCUUAUGAGCUUGUUGGUGGGGUAGUGGCUUACCAAGGUUUUGACGGGUAGCCGGCCUGGGAGGUUGAACGGCCACAUGGGGCCUGAGAGACGGCGCAGACGCCUACGGGAGGCAGCAGUGGGGAAUAUUGCACAAUGGGCGGAAGCCUGAUGCAGCAACGCCGCGUGCGGGAUGACGGCCUACGGGUUGUAAACCGCUUUCGCCUGUGACGAAGCGUGAGUGACGGUAAUGGGUAAAGAAGCACCGGCUAACUACGUG